UACGAAGGGUGCAAGCGUUACUCGGAAUUACUGGGCGUAAAGCGUGCGUAGGUGGUUUUUUAAGUCCGUUGUGAAAGCCCUGGGCUCAACCUGGGAAUGGCAGUGGAUACUGGCAAGCUAGAGUGUGUCAGAGGAUGGUGGAAUUCCCGGUGUAGCGGUGAAAUGCGUAGAGAUCGGGAGGAACAUCAGUGGCGAAGGCGGCCAUCUGGGACAACACUGACGCUGAGGCACGAAAGCGUGGGGAGCAAACAGG
rnacentral:rRNA from 1 species